rnacentral:rRNA from 1 species
GGAGUUAGCCGGUGCUUCUUCUGUGAGUGAUGUCCUUCCUGCCGGCUAUUAACCCGCAGGCCUUCUUCCUCACUGAAAGUGCUUUACAACCCGAAGGCCUUCUUCACACACGCGGCAUGGCUGGAUCAGGGUUGCCCCCAUUGUCCAAUAUUCCCCACUGCUGCCUCCCGUAGGAGUCUGGGCCGUGUCUCAGUCCCAGUGUGGCUGAUCAUCCUCUCAGACCAGCUACGGAUCGUCGCCUUGGUGAGCCGUUACCUCACCAACCAGCUAAUCCGACAUAGGCUCAUCCGAUAGCGCGAGGCCCGAAGGUCCCCCGCUUUCCCCCGUAGGGCGUAUGUGGUAUUAGCCUGGGUUUCCCCAGGUUAUCCCCCGACUACCGGGCAGAUUCCUAUGCAUUACUCACCCGUCCGCCGCUCGCCACCAGGGAGCAAGCUCCCCGUGCUGCCGCUCGACUUGCAUGUGUUAGGCCUGCCGCCAGCGUUCAAUCUGAGCCAGGAUCAAACUCUGA